rnacentral:rRNA from 1 species
UACGUAGGGUGCGAGCGUUGUCCGGAAUUAUUGGGCGUAAAGGGCUCGUAGGCGGUUUGUCGCGUCGGGAGUGAAAACCCAGGGCUUAACCCUGGGCUGGCUUCCGAUACGGGCAGACUAGAGUGUGGUAGGGGAGACUGGAAUUCCUGGUGUAGCGGUGAAAUGCGCAGAUAUCAGGAGGAACACCGAUGGCGAAGGCAGGUCUCUGGGCCACUACUGACGCUGAGAAGCGAAAGCAUGGGGAGCGAACAGG